GAUGAAGAACGUAGCGAAAUGCGAUAAGUAAUGUGAAUUGCAGAAUUCAGUGAAUCAUCGAAUCUUUGAACGCACCUUGCGCCCUCUGGUAUUCCGGAGGGCAUGCCUGUUUGAGUGUCAUGAACACCUCACCCCCUCGGGUUUCCGAUCGGGUGGACUUGGGCGUUGCCAGUCACAUGGCUCGCCUUAAAUGUAUUAGCGGUUGUUGACGUAAUAAGUUUCGUCUUGUCGACCGCUCCUAAUCUCCUUAGGGAUGUCUGUGGACACUUCAUGAUCUGACCUCAAAUCAGGUAGGACUACCCGCUGAACUUAAGCAUAUCAAUAAGCGGAGGA
rnacentral:misc_RNA from 1 species